UCACCGGGAUGAGGGUGAAGGCCAGGAAGCCAAGGAAGUUCGGAAGAAUGAACGUCCACCCGAUCAGCGUGUUGCGCCGGGCCUGCUUCCUGUUGCCCCGGCUGUGAACCGGGGCAACAGGCUUGGUAACGGUUUCGGUU
rnacentral:sRNA from 1 species